rnacentral:rRNA from 1 species
GACGAACGCUGGCGGCGUGCUUAACACAUGCAAGUCGAACGGUGAAGCUCCAGCUUGCUGGAGUGGAUCAGUGGCGAACGGGUGAGUAACACGUGAGCAACCUGCCCCUGACUCUGGAAUAAGCGCUGGAAACGGCGUCUAAUACUGGAUACGAGAAGGGUCCGCAUGGGCACUUUCUGGAAAGUUUUUCGGUUGGGGAUGGGCUCGCGGCCUAUCAGCUUGUUGGUGAGGUAAUGGCUCACCAAGGCGACGACGGGUAGCCGGCCUGAGAGGGCGACCGGCCACACUGGGACUGAGACACGGCCCAGACUCCUACGGGAGGCAGCAGUGGGGAAUAUUGCACAAUGGGCGAAAGCCUGAUGCAGCGACGCCGCGUGAGGGAUGACGGCCUUCGGGUUGUAAACCUCUUUCAGCAGGGAAGAAGCGAAAGUGACGGUACCUGCAGAAGAAGCACCGGCUAACUACGU